GACGAACGCUGGCGGCGUGCUUAACACAUGCAAGUCGAGCGGUAAGGCCCUUUCGGGGGUACACGAGCGGCGAACGGGUGAGUAACACGUGGGUGACCUGCCCUCAGCUCUGGGAUAAGCCUGGGAAACUGGGUCUAAUACUGGAUACUGGACUCCACGGUGCAUGUCGUGGGGUGGAAAGCCUUGUGCGGCUGAGGAUGGGCCCGCGGCCUAUCAGCUUGUUGGUGGGGUGANGGCCUACCAAGGCGACGACGGGUAGCCGGCCUGAGAGGGCGACCGGCCACACUGGGACUGAGCCACGGCCCAGACUCCUACGGGAGGCAGCAGUGGGGAAUCUUGCGCAAUGGGCGAAAGCCUGACGCAGCGACGCCGCGUGAGGGAUGACGGCCUGGUUG
rnacentral:rRNA from 1 species